UACGAAUGUGUUUUUCUUUUU
rnacentral:piRNA from 1 species